rnacentral:antisense_RNA from 1 species
UGUGGGAGCUGGCUUGCCUGCGAUGCGGGCACCGCGGUGCAUCAGACAGACCGGGUUGAUGCCAUCGCAGGCAAGCCAGCUCCCACA